rnacentral:rRNA from 1 species
GGAGCUGUAAGUAAGCUUUGAUCCAGAGAUUUCCGAAUGGGGAAACCCAGCAUGAGUUAUGUCAUGUUAUCGAUAUGUGAAUACAUAGCAUAUCAGAAGGCACACCCGGAGAACUGAAACAUCUUAGUACCCGGAGGAAGAGAAAGAAAAUUCGAUUCCCUUAGUAGCGGCGAGCGAAACGGGAAGAGCCCAAACCAACAAGCUUGCUUGUUGGGGUUGUAGGACACUCUAUACGGAGUUACAAA